CCUACGUGUGGCAGCAGUGAGGAAUAUUGGUCAAUGGGCGCGAGCCUGAACCAGCCAAGUCGCGUGAGGGAAGACGGUCCUGUGGAUUGUAAACCUCUUUUGUCGGGGAGCAAAAGACGCCACGUGUGGCGUUCCGAGAGUACCCGAAGAAAAAGCAUCGGCUAACUCCGUGCCAGCAGACGCGGUAAUACGGAGGAUGCGAGCGUUAUCCGGAUUUAUUGGGUUUAAAGGGUGCGCAGGCGGAAGAUCAAGUCAGCGGUAAAAUUGAGAGGCUCAACCUCUUCGAGCCGUUGAAACUGGUUGUCGUGAGUGAGCGAGAAGUAGGCGGAAUGCGUGGUGUAGCGGUGAAAUGCAUAGAUAUCACGCAGAACUCCGAUUGCGAAGGCAGCAUACCGGCGCUCAACUGACGCUCAUGCACGAAAGUGUGGGUAUCGAACAGGAUUAGAUACCCUUGUAGUC
rnacentral:rRNA from 1 species